rnacentral:misc_RNA from 1 species
GAUGAAGAACGUAGCGAAAUGCGAUAAGUAAUGUGAAUUGCAGAAUUCAGUGAAUCAUCGAAUCUUUGAACGCACCUUGCGCCCUUUGGCCAUUCCGAAGGGCAUGCCUGUUUGAGUAUCAUGAACACCUCAACUCUUCAUGGUUUUCCGUGAUGAGCUUGGACUUUGGGGGUCUUGCUGGCCUAUGGUCAGCUCCUCUAAAAUAAAUCAGCUUGCCAGUGUUUGGUGGGUAUCACAGGUGUGAUAACUAUCUACGCUUGUGGUUUUCCACCAGGUAACCUUCAGCAGUGGAGGUUCGCUGGAGCUCACAGAUGUGUCUCUCCUCAGUGAGGACAGCUCUUUGAAUGUUUGAUCUCAAAUCAGGUAGGACUACCCGCUGAACUUAAGCAUAGCAAUAAGCGGAGGA